rnacentral:rRNA from 1 species
GACGAACGCUGGCGGCGUGCUUAACACAUGCAAGUCGAACGGAAAGGCCCUGCUUUUGUGGGGUGCUCGAGUGGCGAACGGGUGAGUAACACGUGAGUAACCUGCCCCUGUCUUUGGGAUAACUUCAGGAAACUGGGGCUAAUACCGGAUAGGAGCUCCUGCUGCAUGGUGGGGGUUGGAAAGUUUCGGCGGUUGGGGCUAGUCUCGCGGCUUAUCGGCUUGUUGGUGGGGUAGUGGUUUACAAAGGCUUUGACGGGUAGCCGGCCUGCGCGGGUGGCCGGCCACAUUAGGACUGAGAGACGGACCAGUAUGGUACGGGCGGCAGCGGGGGGGAACAUUGCACAGUAGGGGGAAGCCAGAUGCAGAAACGCCGCGUGCGGGAUGACGGCCUACGAGGUGUGAACAGCUUUCGACUGUGACAAAGCGUGAUUGACGGUAAUGGGUAAAGAAGCACCGGCUAACUACGUG